rnacentral:rRNA from 1 species
AUUGAACGCUGGCGGCAGGCCUAACACAUGCAAGUCGAGCGAGUGGCGGACGGGUGAGUAAUGUCUGGGAAACUGCCUGAUGGAGGGGGAUAACUACUGGAAACGGUAGCUAAUACCGCAUACCAUCAGAUGUGCCCAGAUGGGAUUAGCUGGUUGGUGGGGUAACGGCUCACCAAGGCGACGAUCCCUAGCUGGUCUGAGAGGAUGACCAGCCACACUGGAACUGAGACACGGUCCAGACUCCUACGGGAGGCAGCAGUGGGGAAUAUUGGACAAUGGGCGCAAGCCUGAUCCAGCCAUGCCGCGUGUGUGAAGAAGGUCUUCGGGUUGUAAAGCACUUUCAGUUAGGAGGCGUUACUAACAGAAGAAGCACCGGCUAACUUCGUGCCAGCAGCCGCGGUAAUAC